rnacentral:rRNA from 1 species
AUUGAACGCUGGCGGCAUGCCUUACACAUGCAAGUCGAACGGUAACGCGGGGCAACCUGGCGACGAGUGGCGAACGGGUGAGUAAUGCAUCGGAACGUGCCCAGUAGUGGGGGAUAGCCCGGCGAAAGCCGGAUUAAUACCGCAUACGACCUACGGGAGAAAGGGGGGGAUCGCAAGACCUCUCGCUAUUGGAGCGGCCGAUGUCAGAUUAGGUAGUUGGUGGGGUAAAGGCCUACCAAGCCGACGAUCUGUAGCUGGUCUGAGAGGACGACCAGCCACACUGGGACUGAGACACGGCCCAGACUCCUACGGGAGGCAGCAGUGGGGAAUUUUGGACAAUGGGCGCAAGCCUGAUCCAGCCAUGCCGCGUGCGGGAAGAAGGCCUUCGGGUUGUAAACCGCUUUUGUCAGGGAAGAAAUCUUUUGAGCUAAUACCUCGGAAGGAUGACGGUACCUGAAGGAUAAGCACCGGCUAACUACGUGCCAGCAGCCGCGGUAAAAC